GACGAACGCUGGCGGCGCGCUUAACACAUGCAAGUCGAACGGAAAGGCCUGCUUUCCCUUGUGGAUUGCGGGUACUCGAGUGGCGAACGGGUGAGUAACACGUGAGUGAUCUGCCCCCAACUUGGGUAUAAGCCUGGGAAACUGGGUCUAAUUCCCGAUAGGACUGCAGGGUGGUGCCUGUGGUGGAAAACGAUUUUCUAGUGGUUGGGGAUGAGCUCGCGGCCUAUCAGCUUGUUGGUGGGGUAAUGGCCUACCAAGGCGGCGACGGGUAGCCGGCCUGGGAGGGUGGACGGCCACAUUGGGACUGAGAUGCGGCCCAGACUCCUACGGGAGGCAGCAGUGGGGAAUAUAGCACAAUGGGCGGAAGCCUGAUGCAGCGACGCCGCGUGGGGGAUGACGGCCUUCGGGUUGUAAACUCCUUUCGACCGCGAGGAAGCCACCUGGUUGGAAGGGUGGUGACGGUAGUGGUAGAAGAAGCACCGGCUAACUACGU
rnacentral:rRNA from 1 species